GUGAGGAAUAUUAGUCAAUGGGCGAGAGCCUGAACCAGCCAAGUCGCGUGAAGGAAGAAGGAUCUAUGGUUCGUAAACUUCUUUUGCAGGGGAAUAAAGUGCAGGACGUGUCCUGUUUUGUAUGUACCCUGAGAAUAAGGAUCGGCUAACUCCGUGCCAGCAGCCGCGGUAAUACGGAGGAUCCGAGCGUUAUCCGGAUUUAUUGGGUUUAAAGGGUGCGUAGGUGGUUUGAUAAGUCAGCGGUGAAAGUUUGCAGCUUAACUGUAAAAAUGCCGUUGAAACUGUCGGACUUGAGUGUAAAUGAGGUAGGCGGAAUGCGUGGUGUAGCGGUGAAAUGCAUAGAUAUCACGCAGAACUCCGAUUGCGAAGGCAGCUUACUAAGCUACAACUGACACUGAAGCACGAAAGCGUGGGGAUCAAACAGGAUUAGAUACCCGAGUAGUCC
rnacentral:rRNA from 1 species